GCCUCCUUAGCACAGUGGUUAGUGCGUAUGUUUUGUAAACAUAUGACAACAGUUCGAUUCUGUUAGGAGGCU
rnacentral:tRNA from 2 species